rnacentral:rRNA from 1 species
GACGAACGCUGGCGGCGUGCUUAACACAUGCAAGUCGAACGGUAAGGCCCUUCGGGGUACACGAGUGGCGAACGGGUGAGUAACACGUGGGUGAUCUGCCCUGCACUUCGGGAUAAGCCUGGGAAGCUGGGUCUAAUACCGGAUAGGACCACUGCCUGCAUGGGUGGUGGUGGAAAGCUUUUGCGGUGUGGGAUGGGCCCGCGGCCUAUCAGCUUGUUGGUGGGGUGAUGGCCUACCAAGGCGACGACGGGUAGCCGGCCUGAGAGGGUGACCGGCCACACUGGGAAUGAGAUACGGCCCAGACUCCUACGGGAGGCAGCAGUGGGGAAUAUUGCACAAUGGGCGAAAGCCUGACGGAGCAACGCCGCGUGGGGGAGGACGCUUUUCGGAGUGUAAACCCCUUUUCUCGGGGACGAAGCACUGACGGUACCCGAGGAAGAAGGACCGGCUAACUACGUGCCAGCCGCCGCCGUAA